rnacentral:tRNA from 1 species
AUUUAUAUAGCUUAUAUAGAGCAUAGUAUUGAAGCUACUAAGGAAAUUUUUUUAUGAAUA